rnacentral:rRNA from 1 species
AACGAACGCUGGCGGUAUGCUUAACACAUGCAAGUCGAACGAACAAAAUUGGGGCUUGCUCCAAUUUUAGUGAGUGGCAAACGGGUGAGUAACACGUGGGAAUCUACCUAUCAGUACGGAAUAACAUUUGGAAACAGAUGCUAAUACCGUAUAUUCUCCAAGGAGGAAAGAUUUAUCGCUGAUAGAUGAGCCCGCGCAAGAUUAGGUAGUUGGUAGGGUAAUGGCCUACCAAGCCUACGAUCUUUAGCUGGUCUGAGAGGAUGAUCAGCCACACUGGGACUGAGACACGGCCCAGACUCCUACGGGAGGCAGCAGUGGGGAAUAUUGGACAAUGGGCGAAAGCCUGGUCCAGCAAUACCGCGUGAAUGAUGAAGGCCUUAGGGUUGUAAAGUUCUUUUAGUUGGAAAGAUAAUGACGGUACCAACAGAAAAAGCCCCGGCUAACUCCGUGCCAGCAGCCGCGGUAA